UGAGGAAUAUUGGGCAAUGCCCGCAAGUGUGACCCAGCAACGCCGCGUGGAGGAUGAAUGUCGUAAGAUUGUAAACUCCUGUUAGAGGGGAAGAAUAGUACCGGUUGGACCGGUAUAUGACUGUACCCUCAGAGAAAGCCCCGGCUAACUACGUGCCAGCAGCCGCGGUAAUACGUAGGGGGCAAGCGUUGUCCGGAUUUACUGGGUGUAAAGGGCGCGCAGGCGGGAUAAAAAGUCAGUGGUGAAAUCCUACAGCUUAACUGUAGAACUGCCUUUGAUACUUUUAUUCUUGAGUUCGGGAGAGAGAGACGGAAUUCCAGGUGUAGUGGUGAAAUACGUAGAUAUCUGGAAGAACACCAGUUGCGAAGGCGGUCUCUUGGUCCGACACUGACGCUGAGGCGCGAAAGCGUGGGGAGCAAACA
rnacentral:rRNA from 1 species